rnacentral:rRNA from 1 species
AGGGUUUGAUCCUGGCUCAGGACGAACGCUGGCGGUGCGCCUUAUGCAUGCAAGUCGAGCGAAGCUUUUCAGUAGUUUACUACAGAAAAUGACUGAGCGGCGAACGGGUGAGUAACGCGUGAGCAAUCUACCUUAGUUACAGGGAUAGCCCGAGGAAACUCGGAUUAAUACCUGAUAUUCUUUACAUUUCGCAUGAAAUCAAAAGGAAAGGUCAGCCGAACUAAGAUGAGCUCGCGUUCUAUCAGCUAGUUGGUGAGGUAAAAGCUCACCAAGGCAACGACGGAUAGCUGGUCUGAGAGGACGAUCAGCCACACUGGGACUGAGACACGGCCCAGACUCCUACGGGAGGCUGCAGCAGGGAAUAUUGCGCAAUGAGCGAAAGCUUGACGCAGCGACACCGCGUGUGGGAUGACGGAUCUAGGUUUGUAAACCACUUUCAGGAGGGAAGAAAAUGACGGUACCUCCACAAGAAGCCCCGGCCAACUACGUGCCAGCCGCCGCGGUAAUAC